AACGCACGAGACCUGCGGACCUGCGGAAGGAUCAUUACCGAGUAACCUGCCUAGCAGGAACUCCCACCCUUGAUUACAAUCUGUUGCUUCGGCGAGACGCUGUACUACAGCAAGCUGUUACAGCCAUCGAUUUGCGAUUUAAUCCGAUUUUGAUUGUGAUUGGAUUGCCAUUUGGUCAGCAUCGGAACGCCUCUUGAAUCGCCAUUUGGUCACCAUUGGAUUGCGAUUGUAUUAGCUUAA
rnacentral:misc_RNA from 1 species